UGAAGAGGGAGCAAGUGAGUAUUGAAGGCAUAACUAGAAGCAGAAGAUACAGACCAAGUAAAAGAGGAAGGCAGGGUUUUAUGUGUUAGCAUGGGUUUAUAAAGAAAUCUGUGCUUAGAUUUGUUUGUGAAUCCCUUUUGGACUGGUACAACAGGGUCAGUUUGUCAUCUUUUGGUGACAGCUAGCUCCUAUGGCUUGUGUCCAUGCAUAGCGUGGUUUACUAGCUGGCUAGUGUGGACAGAGAUGGAUACUUUGUGCUGGUUUUGGUUAGCCUUGGUCCUCUCUGUUUUUAUACACCUAUUUAGUUUUACAUUUCAUUCUCUUUUCUUCCUUAGAUCUCACCCAAGGAUGUAAGUAACUGUAACCUGUUUGACUGGUUCUGCUUCCUGAUGUUUCACAUGCACUGAGCUGUCACAGAAUCUUCUGCCUGCAGUGCAGCUGUGUGGCCGUCUCCUCCAGUCCUUCUGUUUUCUGUGGAGCCACUACAGGAGAUCAGCUUAGGCUUUCUAGGGUAUAUUUGUAAGGAUUCAGUUAAACAAAAAGGUUUGUGUGACAAAGCGCAGUUACAGCAACAGAAUACUGCUGCUGUGAAUGCACAUGCUGUACACAAGAUCUAGUGAGAUCGAGUACGUUGAUCACGAAGACGUUGUUUCAGUCGUAUAUAUUGUUUGGUUAUAGGACCUUAGUUAGAAGACAGGUAUUUUGGAGUAAUUAUAUUUGAUGUCACAAAAUACCAGUCUUUCACUGACAUGCUUUUGCUUUUUCCUUUCUGCUCCAGCAUACAGCACAGCUGUGAGAGGAGAGACACUUAUCAAAAAAACACAUGGUUGGGAAUAAUCUUCCCUGCCCGCUGAAUGUGCUGUGCUUGAAAAAAGGGAGAUUUCAAAUGUAGGGAAAAAUCCUGACUCUUCAAGUCCUAUAUUUCUGGCAGCAAUUAUUGCUAUCCUGAAUCUGCAGAAGGUUGCAGAAAGGAGCAAUUAUUGCUGAAACAAACUCUCCCU
rnacentral:lncRNA from 1 species